UACGUAGGGUGCAAGCGUUGUCCGGAAUUAUUGGGCGUAAAGAGCUCGUAGGCGGUCUGUCGCGUCGGCUGUGAAAACUCGGGGCUCAACCCCGAGCCUGCAGUCGAUACGGGCAGACUAGAGUGCGGUAGGGGAGACUGGAAUUCCUGGUGUAGCGGUGAAAUGCGCAGAUAUCAGGAGGAACACCGGUGGCGAAGGCGGGUCUCUGGGCCGU
rnacentral:rRNA from 1 species